UGGCUCUCGCAUCGAUGAAGAACGCAGCGAAAUGCGAUAAGUAAUGUGAAUUGCAGAAUUCAGUGAAUCACCGAAUCUUUGAACGCACAUUGCGCUCUCUGGUAUUCCGGAGAGCACGUCUGUCUGAACGUCAUGAAACUCUCAACUACAUGGAAUAUGUAGCUUGGAUCUGGAGCUUGUCGGUUUAGGCCGACUGCUCUGAAAUGCAUUAGCCACGGUUGAACUCACCGAGACUCGGCGUCAUAACUUCAAUGCGCUGCCAACGGUAGAAAGACGCGGCUUACAAAAACCAAUAUUCAUUCUAUUUGACCUCGAAUCAGGUAGGACUACCCGCUGA
rnacentral:misc_RNA from 1 species